UAGAUGCGAGAGUAGAGCAUAUCAAUAAGCGGAGGAAAAGAAACUAACAAGGAUUCCCCUUAGUAACGGCGAGUGAAGCGGGAAGAGCUCAAAUUUGAAAUCUUCAAGGGUUCUACCUUGACGAAUUGUAGUUUAAUAGAAGUGUUUUCUGUUAGUAGAGGUGGCUAAAAGUUCCUUGGAAUAGGACAUCAUAGAGGGUGAGAAUCCCGUAUUUGGUCAUUCCUUCCUAGCGUUGUGAUACACUCUCAACGAGUCGGAUUGUUUGGGAAUGCAGUCCAAAAUGGGUGGUAAAUUUCAUCUAAAGCUAAAUAUUGGCGAGAGACCGAUAGCGAACAAGUACCGUGAGGGAAAGAUGAAAAGAACUUUGAAAAGAGAGUUAAACAGUACGUGAAAUUGUCAAAAGGGAAGCGUUUGGCACCAGUGUUGUUUUCUCGAAAAUCAAUUAAAAAUGACCGGAUUCUGUGUUGUAUUGACUUUAUCAGCUUUCUGCACUUUUUUCUUAUCUUUUUUAAUGCACUUUUCGUUUAACAAGUCAACAUCAAUUUCUUUUGUUGUAAAAGAGUCAUUGGAAGGUGGCUUUUUCUUCGGAAAAAGUGUUUAUAGCCUUUGGCUUCUGCAAUCGAAGAGAUUGAGGUCCGCAGCGUAGAUCCUUCGGGGUUAGAUACAUUUGUGCUAAGCUAUAGUUCUUUAUAGACAACUUGUUGACUAUAAUCAAUCCUGUAACUUACUCGCUUAUGCUAUUUUACCUACGCUUAGGAUGUUGACGAGACUGUCGAUCUC
rnacentral:rRNA from 1 species